GCUGGGCGUGGUGGUGUGUGCCUGUAAUCCCAGCUACUCGGGAGGCUGGGGCAGAAGAAUUGCUUGAACCUGGGAGGUGGAGGUUGCAGUGAGCUGAGAUCGGCGCCACUGCACUCCAGCCCGGGUGACAGAGCAAGACUCUGUCUUAA
rnacentral:sRNA from 1 species